rnacentral:rRNA from 1 species
UACGUAGGGGGCGAGCGUUGUCCGGAGUUACUGGGCGUAAAGGGCAUGCAGGCGGUCGGACGCGUUUUGUGUGACAGCGGGUGGCUUAACUACCCGAGCAUGCGAAAGACGGUUGGACUUGAGGGCUCGAGAGGGACACGGAAUUCCGGGUGGAGUGGUGAAAUGCGUAGAGAUCAGGAGGAACACCGAAGGCGAAGGCAGUGUCCUGGCGAGUGACUGACGCUGAGGUGCGAAAGCCAGGGGAGCGAACGGG